rnacentral:lncRNA from 1 species
UUAUUAAUAAAAGAGACAGACCAAUAUUAAUAAGUACAAGAGAGGACAUUUUUGGUAACAUUAAUAAUUGGUCAAUUGAUGCUGGAAGAUAAAAUACCAAUUAAGAUAUUUUAUGAUACUACUUAAUAUUAUAUAUUAUUUAUAUAUAUUAUAUAGUAUAUGUGUGGUGGAAAAGAAAAGAAGAAAGGAUAAGAAUAGAAGAAGAGAGAAUGAGAGU